rnacentral:rRNA from 1 species
UACGAAGGGUGCAAGCGUUACUCGGAAUUACUGGGCGUAAAGCGUGCGUAGGUGGUUUGUUAAGUCUGAUGUGAAAGCCCUGGGCUCAACCUGGGAACUGCAUUGGAAACUGGCUUACUAGAGUGCGGUAGAGGGGUGUGGAAUUCCCGGUGUAGCAGUGAAAUGCGUAGAUAUCGGGAGGAACACCAGUGGCGAAGGCGGCGACCUGGACAGAUAUUGACGCUGAGGUGCGAAAGCGUGGGGAGCAAACAGG